AUGCCUUUCUUUAAAAAAAAUGUUAAAACUGUUGUUAGUGAAAUUCCUGGUUGGGAAGAUCCUGUGUUUGUUUCUGUUGCUCGUAAUUGGGCCUCUGGCACUGGCCUAAGUGAAAAUUGGGACGGCUGCCUUAGGACGGCUGAUCCUGCACAGAUUUGUGUAUUCACAGGUAUUAUUGUUAGCACUCACGUCUGGAUUGCUUGGACCAUUUCCCCCGGACAAAUCUUGUCUCACCAAACUACUUCCAGCAAUGGACACAUGAUUCUACAGUUGGGAUGGGUCAACUCCUCAAAAGUAAGAAGUCAAGACUCUUACAACUGUUCUGCUAAUCAAGUCUGUCACCAUACCCAUCUUACUAUUAGUGGAGAUACCAACACUACACUUACCUAUUGGAUGGGACAGAAACCUGCUCGAGGCAUAAUUUAUAGUGAUGAUAGUAUUACUAUUAAUGUCACUUCUAAAGUGAAUAUUUCCUGUUGUCAACAAGAUUUAACUACUAUGCUAUGUCCCUAUCAUGUGCUGCCAAUUCCAUAUCCUUAUUAUUAUUUGCAACCAGAAUUUUAUGGUACCCACAUUGACAAUAGAAAUAUAACAUAUAAAAUCAAUGAUUGUGCUGUAACUACAAAAGGAUUAGUAUGUACUGAUUUACAACAACAGAUGGAGCCAUGUCUAUUGCAUUUUUCUGUUAAUCAUUGUAUUUUUACCUUAUUACCAGUAAGUGAUUACACUGCCCUUUUUGAAGUCCAGCCCCAUACAUUAUGUAUUGUAUCCAAUCAAUCUGAAGUAUUGUCAUAUAUGCAAGUUGAUUUUCCAUUUGUUGGAUAUAUUUAUAAUAUCUCUGUUUUUCUCUGGCAUAAUUCUACUAUUUAUUUAACCCCAAUCAUUGACUAUGAAAAUAUCACUUUCACCCCAAUAAGCCUGCCCCAACCAAAGUUGGAAACCUAUUUAAAUCUAACUACUAUAUUAUAUGAAAAUAAAGCUUUAAAUCAGACAUUACAGAAAAGAGAUUGACAAUUAAGUGAAUAUAGACUACAAACCACCAUAGUAAGUCAUAAACUGCAGGACUAUUCCCAUGCUAUAGCGACAGAUAGUAAUCAUAACUGGUGGGACUGGUUAUUUACACACUCAUCAGUGACAUAUAGAUUCAUCCCACUAUUCAUGAUUGUAUUCAUUUUAAUAGUUAUUAGUAUAUGUAGUUGUUGCUGUUCUUUGUACUUAUAUCAACGCAUUAAGAAUUUAUAUGAUGCAUUUACUUACAACUAUUAUGUGUAUAAUAAGUCUGCCCAUGCCUAGGGCCGAUGGAACAGAAGGAGUUUAUUAUGUUUACAAGUCAUGGACAGACUCUAUAUCUUCAUUUCCUUAUCAUUGGGAGUAUUCCGAGCUCAGAAUUUUCCCAAUGCAAAAAAAAAAAGGCUCUGAAGAGCCGGACCUGGGAACCUGGCCAGUUCCCUGAUCCAGUUUUUAGUAAACACCUCAAGGAUGUUAGUUACAUGAUGAAGACGUGGACAGUGUCCUGACUUGACCCUUCUUUGUUUUAAAAAGUAUAAAAGAUUGUUUAGCAGAAGCCGAACUGAGCUUCGAUGGUGAUUUGGUUUGGACUUGUGAAAACCCGUGCUGCUUUACUGCCGGUGUUGAAGUUUGUGAGCGUCUCUAGGUAUCCUUGUAAAUAAACUCUUUUUCUUUCUUUGUAAAUAAACUCUAUAUACCUCGGCUGGUGUUUUUCUUCCCACGAAUCUGCCUGAAAAGAUUAGAAAAUCCAAGCUUGGUACUGAGCAGUGCUCACACACUGGCCUCAAGUGAUUCUCCCUCCUAGGUCUUCCAAAGUGCUGGCAUAACAGGCCUGAGCCACCACACACAUGGUAGAGAGAAAAGGUGCCAGUAAUACAAUUAUGUUAACUUUUAAAACUAACUUUAUUUCAGGAAAAAAAUACAUAUGAUGUUGGGGUAAAGAUCAU
rnacentral:lncRNA from 1 species